rnacentral:rRNA from 1 species
GUGACCUCAAAUCAGGUAGGACUACCCGCUGAACUUAAGCAUAUCAAUAAGCGGAGGAAAAGAAACUAACAAGGAUUCCCCUAGUAACUGCGAGUGAAGCGGGAAAAGCUCAAAUUUAAAAUCUGGCGGUCUUWUGGCUGUCCGAGUUGUAAUCUAGAGAAGUGUUAUCCGCGCUGGACCGUGUACAAGUCUCCUGGAAUGGAGCAUCAUAGAGGGUGAGAAUCCCGUCUUUGACAUGGACUGCCAGGGCUUUGUGAUGYGCUCUCAAAGAGUCGAGUUGUUUGGGAAUGCAGCUCAAAAUGGGUGGUAAAUUCCAUCUAAAGCUAAAUAUUGGCGAGAGACCGAUAGCGAACAAGUACCGUGAGGGAAAGAUGAAAAGAACUUUGGAAAGAGAGUUAAACAGUACGUGAAAUUGCUGAAAGGGAAACGCUUGAAGUCAGUCGCGUCAUCCAGGGAUCAACCUUGCUUUUGCUUGGUGCACUUCCUGGUUUGAUGGGUCAGCAUCAAUUUUGACUAUUGGAAAAAGGCUGAGGGAAUGUGGCAUCUUCGGAUGUGUUU